UGUGUAUCAGUACAUGGUAUAUCAAUAAGCGGAGGAAAAGAAACUAACAAGGAUUCCCUUAGUAACGGCGAGUGAAGCGGGAAGAGCUCAAAUUUGAAAUCUUCAAGGUUUUACCUUGACGAAUUGUAGUUUAAAGAAGUGUUUUCUGUUGAAGUUUUGGUAAAAGUUCUUUGGAAUAGGACAUCAUAGAGGGUGAGAAUCCCGUAUUUGACCAUUAUUUUCAGCUGUGUGAUACACUUUCAAAGAGUCGGAUUGUUUGGGAAUGCAGUCCAAAAUGGGUGGUAAAUUUCAUCUAAAGCUAAAUAUUGGCGAGAGACCGAUAGCGAACAAGUACCGUGAGGGAAAGAUGAAAAGAACUUUGAAAAGAGAGUUAAACAGUACGUGAAAUUGUCAAAAGGGAAGCGUUUGACACCAGUGUUGUUUUUCCGAAAAUCAAUUAUGAAUGCUUUAUUUUGAGGAGUUCAUGACCUUAAUAGGCUUGUUCUUAUUUUCAUGUAACUUUCUUAAUGCACUUUUCGGUUAACAAGUCAACAUCAAUUUCUUUUGUUGUAAAAGGGUAUGAGGAAGGUGGCUUUCUUUUCGGAGAAAGUGUUUAUAGCCUUGUGCCUCUACAAUCGGAGAGAUUGAGGUCUGCAGCGUAGAUCCUUCGGGGUUAGAUACAUUUGUGCUAAGUUAUAGCUUUUCAUAGACAACUUGUUGACUAUGAUUUAGUCAUUGUAGCUUACUCGCUUACUGCUAUUUUACCUACGCUUAGGAUGUUGACUGAUAUGUAGUCGU
rnacentral:rRNA from 1 species